AACCUCGCUCGUGCUGUCGAACGAGCAGCUAAUCGAGGCGGACGCAUUUCGAACAUCGCGUAAAGGAACGGCAUCGUCCUGCUACCAGGAACGCGCUUGCUGCAGCCUCACAGAACAUCCCAGGAGGCGGUUCCCGAGACCUGCGUGGGACCCGCUCGCUGAGAUAGGCGUCAAGGACACCGCGGCUCCGUUCAACACCAUGCAUGUACCACGGACUGCGCGAGGAGCCGGGAACCAGGCGGUGGCAGCAUCGAGGGUCUCCCGACGCCUGCUAUUGCAGAGUUCGCGACGUCCGAGUAGGCGUGGAGCAGAAGCCGCCGCAAGAAUGAUCCGCCAGGUCGGCGAGUCUGGUGUAGUGGCUUCUCCCGACAACAGUCUCGACGCCUCGUGCUGCAGGCUACGCAUCCACCCGCGUGACACGCUGCCAUGUGUGUUGGCGAUGCUGAUCUCAAUCAAGGCUGAGAGCAACGGGGACACGUAUGACAUGGCUAGACCAAGCAGCUGCCUUUGGAGGCUGCACGGGAGGCUCACCGGGUUUACAGUGGACGGCAGUACGGCGUUGUCGGCGCGGAACGGCGCACACUGUCGACAGCAGUCGCCCGCCGUCUUGUGCAUCGCCGCACGUGUGGCUGCCAUCUACUGGGCUGCACCUUGUCACAGCUGCAGCGCCACAACAACCCGAGGCUCUGCAGGCGGCAUCACUGUCUUCUCAGCGGUGCUUAUUCAAGCAAAGUAGCUGACCAUGCGCUCGCUGCUGACCACGUCAGCGGCGACUUCGGUGUGCACUCCGUUCGCUGGCACGAUGGCUGCACCAGACGUAUGAGAGCGCACUGGCCGCUCCACUGCGUUCAAGGGCUGGCGUACCUGCGCAAGGAUUGGCGAGGACGCCCCCAGCAACCGCUGCGAGCUAGUCGCCGUGCCGCUAUCCCCUUGACGUUGGCACAGCGAAACUGGCGCCGCUUGCGGCGAGUGCGUGCGCUUUCCUUUCGUAAUUUCCUUUAUUUUUUCAAUGUAUUGGUGUGAAUGUACUAUUGUUAUUUGUGUUUCCAAUACAGUUUUUAGCG